rnacentral:tRNA from 3 species
GCUCCUGUAGUUCAAUGGAUAGAACAUUGGUCUCCGGAACCGAAGAUCUGGGUUCGACUCCCAGCGGGAGCGCCA